GAUGAACGCUGGCGGCGUGCCUAAUACAUGCAAGUCGAGCGAACGGACGAGAAGCUUGCUUCUCUGAUGUUAGCGGCGGACGGGUGAGUAACACGUGGAUAACCUACCUAUAAGACUGGGAUAACUUCGGGAAACCGGAGCUAAUACCGGAUAAUAUUUUGAACCGCAUGGUUCAAAAGUGAAAUACGGUCUUGCUGUCACUUAUAGCUGGAUCCGCGCUGCAUUAGCUAGUUGGUAAGGUAACGGCUUACCAAGGCAACGAUGCAUAGCCGACCUGAGAGGGUGAUUGGCCAGACUGGAAGUGAGACACGGUCCAGACUCCUACGGGAGGCAGCAGUAGGGAAUCUUCCGCGAUGGGGGAAAGCCUGACAGAGCAACGCCGCGUGAGUGAUGAAGGUCUUCGGAUCGUAAAACUCUGUUAUUAGGGAGGAACAUAUGUGUAAGUAACUGUGCACAUCUUGACGGUACCUAAUCAAAAAGCCACGGCUAACUACGUG
rnacentral:rRNA from 1 species